AUUUAAAAUUGGACAGAAAAGAGAAGGUUACAUAACCCUCCAUCAUUGCCUUAUCUUUCAGAUGUCUUCCAACUAUUGGUUGACCAAGCGAUGCCUCGAGGAAUAAAAAACAGAAAGCAAAAUUAAUGAAAACAUAAAGACGAUGCAGGAAAACCAGAAAACACAACUGAAAAAAAUCAAAACUAGAAAACAAAGAGAACCUAGGCCAGAAACCCUUUAUUCUUCUCCAAGAAACUACCAGAAACGCUUUCUUGCAUCAGUGAAACAUAGAGGUAGCCAAUUUUCUCCUUCAAUCCCGGGUGUCAUCUCAAUGCAACCCAACCCUUUUGUAAGCCGCUAAGUUCAUCGGACUCUCGACCGCUACUUUACUUCCGGGCUCAGUCACUACAACUCUUGUCGACUCACUUCAACCCCCAUCCUAUCCUAGUUAACAAACCUUUCCACCUCCUUUGGGACUUUUUCCAUCCGGUAUAUAGGAGAAUCAUAUUGCCGACUCUCCGUCGCCAACAUGUGCACAUCAAGAUCUUAGCUUUUUAAUAACAGAUAAAGCAUCUCCUUCCACAUAGACCUCCUUAGACCCUAGCUCCUUCGCAAAAAUAACCGCCUGUAGACACGCUCGCGCCUCUGCCAUGUUCGGACUCAGAAUAUUCUCCCAUGGUGAUUCGGAAGCUCGUUUAGGUUGGAACCUUGUCAGAGCUAUAUCACACUAUCCAUUGGUUCAUUCGGUACUUUUGGUUGGUUAUUUUUGGUUAUUCACGGCCGUGUGACCCUUGUAGUGUUGAAAAUUUUAAAUGUUUUCGAAAAAUUUUGAGUUUUUGAUUUAGUUCCAAUUUAUUUCCAAUGCGUAUUUUGGGCAUCGUGGGCUUGUAUAAGGGACAAUCUGUAUGAUUUUGAGUGGUUUUGACACGAUUACUAUAUGAUAUAAAAUGUUUGCAUUUUCUGUU